UAUUUCUUGCUACAACAUAUCAUUACUAAAAUGGAACAGUACAGAAAAGAUUUACAUGGCUCCUACACAAGAAUUAAAUGCAAAUUUUUCAAAGGUUGAAUGUUUUU
rnacentral:snRNA from 1 species